GACACUUUGGCCGAGUGGUUAAGGCGAAAGACUAGAAAUCUUUUGGGUUCGCCCGCACAGGUUCGAGUCCUGUAGGUGUCG
rnacentral:tRNA from 2 species